GCCUGGUUAGCUCAGUCAGUAGAGCAUCAGACUUUUAAUCUGAAGGUCAAGGGUUCGAAUCCCUUAUCUUGCG
rnacentral:tRNA from 1 species